GCAGCGGGGCGGAGUGAGCAGCUGGGCGGAGUGAGCAGCUUGGCGGUCGCGCAGUUCCACCACAGCGCUACGUCAGGGCCUACGGACAAGAUGCAGGGUACAUCAAGUUGAUUUUGGAGCUUUAAUCCGCUGUUUCUGAGGCUGCUGGUAGAGAUUUCCCUUUCUCUUCUUUGUUCUCACAGCUCAGAGGGACUCAGCUUUGGAUUUGUCCCCGCCUCUGCGUAGGCUCAGGCCUGACACCUGGCCGGAGCAACAAGACCCUGUCAAC